rnacentral:misc_RNA from 1 species
UUUUUCAUAUUCGUCUGGUCGCUCUCUCCUUCUUCUUCCUUGGCACGCUGGCCUUCAGACAGGGUGGGGGAGUGUACAGGUGUGUUGGUCGGCAGCGUGUGCUCUUGGGGGGUCCUCCCCCGGGGCGGUUUGUGCCUUCCCGGGGAAGCAACAGGGAUGUGUACGCAGAGAGUGGGAGUAGGGCGGCCGCGAUGGCCAACUCGCACCCCCUCGGCCCUCGAAAGGAGGGCCAGGGAAUGGCUUUACAUUUGGUAAUGAUCCUUCCGCAGGUUCACCUACGGAAA